rnacentral:rRNA from 1 species
UACGUAGGGCGCAAGCGUUGUCCGGAAUUAUUGGGCGUAAAGAGCUCGUAGGCGGUUUGUCGCGUCUGCUGUGAAAACCUAAGGCUCAACCUUGGGCUUGCAUUGGGUACGGGCAGACUAGAGUGCGGUAGGGGUGACUGGAAUUCCUGGUGUAGCGGUGGAAUGCGCAGAUAUCAGGAGGAACACCGGUGGCGAAGGCGGGUCUCUGGGCCGUAACUGACGCUGAGGAGCGAAAGCGUGGGGAGCGAACAGG